GGCCAGUAAUACAGAUCCUGCUGCGACUGCCUUAUUGAGGGGGCCGAAUAAAAGCGAUCACAGAUGUGAAUGCAUUUUGAAAUGGAAAAUCUGUGUUUGCAGGUGAAUUUGGAACCAUCUUCAGAAUCAGGUUGCCGUGCAGUCUGUCAAUGUAUUGUAACUGAGACCUGCAAGAGCUCUUCUCACACCUGGGAACAUCAUGGUGACAUUGUGUCUGCCACCAGCUCCAGCCCCAGGAAGGGACAAUUUCAUCACCACCAACCCAAGAGCAUCUUCCAAGAGGAAUUGGAGCCCCUCAAGAAGU